rnacentral:lncRNA from 1 species
GAAAUGAGAAUCAAUGCAGAUGUUAAGGAAAGUCUCGCCCCAAGAGGAAGUGGAUCUGACGGAAUUCAGAAGAACCGAAUCCCUGAAACAGCGGCAGUUCAAAGCAGAGAACCAGGAUCUCACCAAAGAGAUCGAACGACUGGAAGGGGAGAUACUUGAACUGAAGAAACAAAUCAGAGGAAUGGUAAAGGACAAAGGAAGAUGAGUUCCAGGCCCAGGGCAUUGGUGGCGGAGGAACAGAGGCCAGCCAGAUGAAGCAGGAAGCUGACCUGGAGAAGCGCUUGGCAGAGGCAGGAGGGCACAACUAAGUGUCUCAACUGGAGGGAGAAACAGGCGCUGGCAGACAUCUUCAGCACUAAGGAGGACCUCAAGUCUCAGAAGCAGAACAAAGCAGUGAGCCAGACUCUGACCCCUUCUGCAGCACCCAAUGUAUCAGCAAUCAUCCACUUUUCUCAGGUAGCUGAGAUGUGAUCAGAAUGACAGACAAUAGCGCCAUCUAGCUGUUGACCAGCUAAUGGUUGUCAGGCCAUGGGUAAAUUCCUCACUUACUAGUUAAUCAUUUGAUUUGACUGACUUCUCCCCAGUGUCGAGCGAAUAUGAGGAGCUUUUUCCCUGUGCAUGAAAGAGUGACCAGAGUGUGAAGAUUCUGAAAAACCGAGAUGGCACUUCCAGGAACAUAAUGGUGAGAAGGUUUAAACUACCAUUUGACAGGAUCAAAUCAAAUUUUAUUGGUCACAUGCAGAUGUUAUUGCGAGUGGAGCAAAAUACUUGUGGACAUUAGCGAGUAAUAUACUCGGAAGUGGUGGGUGGUGUGCGCGCCUUCGAAGUCUGACCAGAAGACCGCUCCGUCUACGUCUUCUCUGGCAGUAUUGUUUUGUCAGCCUCUGGAAUCUGCUCAAAUGCCCUGGGAAGUUCGGACAAAGGACCCGCUUCGGGAAAGCCGUAUUCCUGGUCGUAGUGCUGGUAAGUUGACGCCGCUCUGAUAUCUAAUAGUUCUUUCUGGCUGUAUGUAAUAACACUUAAGAUUUUCUGGGCUAACAAUGUAAGAAAUACAUAAAAAAAAAAAUGCUGCAAAGUAUCCUAAGGACUAAAAGCGAGGCAGCUCUGUCGGUGCCAUUUUGAACAUCACUAGGUCAAGCGAUGAGGUUUGUACAAAGGUUAUUCUACCCUACUCCCCUCUCUCAGGAAGGGGACCCCGUCUUAAUCUCCACACGAGAGCCUGGGUCCGAGGAUGCUGACAGGAGCUCAUCCAGGUAACCAAGCACAUUAUCAAAUUUGGCACUCAUAAGAUGCCUUGACCAUUUUUUCCCAGUGAGGUUGUUUUUCCAUUCCUUGAAAUAUUUUUGUUCCAAGUCAGGUUCAGUUUACAUGGAAUAUGCAGAUGUACAGUACUAUAUGUUCACACUUUUGUGACUGCUUCCUUUUCCCAAGAGUAUCUGCCCCCACGAGUGGGAAAGGACCUGUCUCCUGGCAUGGGGGGGGGCAUCCAGAGAAGCAGGAAAGACUGCAUUACACACAUCGUUCAACACUGACUAGUUUACAACCCACUUCAGAAUAGCCUCUUGAUCUAAUGAUAUAUUGCAACAAUGUUUUGUUUGUUAUCCUUUUAUAAAGGUAAAAAUGUGAAGUCAACUUUCAUCAUGCAAAAUAAAGCCACAAUUAAUCAUAAUCAGCAUGAGAAAAUGUAACAUUUGAAUUAAAAUAGUGCAAAGGACAACAAAAAUGUGUCAGUGCUCAAGUAUUGGACUUUAUUGACGGUUAAGCAAUAUCAGUGCACAAUACUCAUCACUUGAAUACAACAUGAUCAAAAUCCAUUGCUUUCUACAUACACAUGGUUUGUGAGCACAUUGGCUAAUCUUGUUGGGCAAAGUGAAGAUUUUAUUCCAUGACUUCAUUAAGAUUUAAGUUCAGUAUGGUAAGCCUUUAUGCGCUAUACAACUUUCUCACAAGCUUUUAUUCGCCAAUUAAAAAAUUAACUUAAACAUAUCGGUGUAAACUCAAUAUGCUGGGGAAAAUAUAUUCCUGUACCCCCACCUUUGACAAACUUUACAGGCAAAAGGGAUGCGGAGGUAAGAAGUCAUCCAAUUAAUUUUAAAAAGGUGACAUUUGUUACGUUCUUUGACGUUCACACUAGUAAACCAGAUCGAGCUUCAUUGGAAGUCCAAUACAGGGGUUGUAUUGUGUUAGUAGACCAGGAUAUUUAUAUCAACAUUUCUGCAUUGGGCUGGGCUUUCUUGUAUAGGCAUUUCUCUCUCAAAAAAAAAAGGAUAUUCUGUAUCCCAACAUGAAACACAAAGCCCAUCUAAGAGGUAAAAACAAAGGCAACUUUUGAAACGUUACAGCAGCACACCAAUGAUUAACUUACAGUUUAUGUAACAAUUAAAGAAUGAGUAUUGCAACCACUACAGCCUUGCGUGGGAAGAAUAGAAUUCCCAUAAACAAAAUGCAACAUGCUCCUUUAUCAGCAACAGGGCAUUCGAAGAGAUCUUUGGUUUAAAACAAAGAUUUUAGGCAAGAUUCAGUUGACUAAGACCAUGGUUUUGUUGACUUACUCU